AAUAAAAUGCCUGAUAAAAGGGUUAUCUUGAUAGGAUAAAUAAUGUACAAUUAUGUACUUUUAUUA
rnacentral:tRNA from 1 species